rnacentral:rRNA from 1 species
UGGGGAAUAUUGGACAAUGGGCGCAAGCCUGAUCCAGCCAUGCCGCGUGAGUGAUGAAGGCCCUAGGGUUGUAAAGCUCUUUCACCGGUGAAGAUAAUGACGGUAACCGGAGAAGAAGCCCCGGCUAACUUCGUGCCAGCAGCCGCGGUAAUACGAAGGGGGCUAGCGUUGUUCGGAUUUACUGGGCGUAAAGCGCACGUAGGCGGACUAUUAAGUCAGGGGUGAAAUCCCGGGGCUCAACCCCGGAACUGCCUUUGAUACUGGUAGUCUUGAGUUCGAGAGAGGUGAGUGGAAUUCCGAGUGUAGAGGUGAAAUUCGUAGAUAUUCGGAGGAACACCAGUGGCGAAGGCGGCUCACUGGCUCGAUACUGACGCUGAGGAGCGAAAGCAUGGGUAGCGAACAGG